AUGGUGUUGGCUGUGGGAGUCUCAGAGGUGGUGGCUAUGGGAGUUUGAGAGGUGGUGGCUAUCUGCAUUACUGUGGUGGUGGCUGUGGGAGUCUGAGAGGUGGUGGCUAUGGGAGUUUGAGAGGUGGUGGCUAUCUGCAUUACUGUGGUGUUGGCUGUGGGAGUCUGAGGGGUUUUGGCUAUGGGAGUCUGAGAGGUGGUGGCUAUCUGCAUUACUGUGGUGUUGGCUGUGGGAGUCUGAGAGGUGGUGGCUAUGGGAGUCUGAGAGGUGGUGGCUAUCUGCAUUACUGUGGUGUUGGCAGUGGGAGUCUGAGAGGUGGUGGCUAUGGGAGUCUGAGAGGUGGUGGCUAUCUGCAUUACUGUGGUGUUGGCAGUGGGAGUCUGAGAG
ensembl:lncRNA